ACACAGCACAGCGACCCUACUAUGUAUCCUAAUCAGAUGAAAGUGAUAUCAUGAGACCAGUUGCACAUUCUCCCCGUUUAGACUGUCGACUAAUAAUUGUAUUUUUUUUUUCUUAACAAGUCUGAACUGAACUUUUUGGAUGGCGUCACUAGGUGGUUGCUGAGGAAACGCACGGUGUAUGGCAUUCAUUCGUUUUAUUCUUUAUUUAAUUUAUUUUUUGUUUGCAUUUAUGUGAGCUGUGUCAUACAGAUUGGAUAUUUUUUUAUUUAAGGUAUAAAGUAAGUUUAGAGGGCUGAAGAKGUGUGUGUGCGUGAGUGUGUGUGUGUCCUCCCUGAGUGUUUCAGAGUCUCUCUCUGCAGUAGGAGGAGGACCCACAAUUUGAGAUCACGGAGCCUUUAAUAGGAGCGGGGUUAUGGUAACUGCUACCGCCUCUCAGCACCACUCUGCGCUGUUGGAGGAGGAGGUGGGGGUGCAAAAGGAGGAAGUCUUCCUGAGUCACCAAGAAGCUUCUGCCCUAACACACUCUGACUAAACAGUUUGACUAAAUGUGCUUUAUUCACUCUUUGAAGAAACAAUAUCUGACCAUUUCUUCCCAUUAUUAUAAGUUCAAAUAUUUUGUUCCCUUUUAGUUUCAUUGUUGUAUUUGUAAUAUCAUUGUAUACUUUUUUGUUUUUUUUUCUCCUUCAUCCUUUUUUUGUAUACUUCAACUCUAUUUCUCUUUUAUUGUUUAAUGACUUGAUUUGUUUAAAAAAAAGUACAAAAAUGAACAAAAACUGGAAUGAGAUGAUCAAUUUUUAGAUCUCUUUCCAUUCGUAUCUUUAGUUUUUCAUUGACUUGAAUGAAGACGUAUGGAGUGGCUGUGUGUGUGCGCGUUUCCUCCUGAUGUGCCCAUAACCCCCCUCCACACAAACACACACACACACACACCCUAUCUCUGAUCCCUGCAAGGCUGAGUGGCAGACCUCUGGAUUGGCUAAGUGAUGAAAUGAUGACCCCAUUAUGAGAAGUGAUUCCAAAAUGAGAGGUAUCAGACAAAGAUUGCACCCUUUCUCUCUCUUCCUCUCUCUCUCUCUAUCUGCUGCCACGCCGUCCUCCCGCAUCACGCUGCCAGCUGCACAGAUGAUGAUUGAUUCGCUUGAGAUGGGAUCACAGGAAGCGCCCAUUGAUUUUUCUGUGUUUUAUUAAAAAUAUUUAUUUACGCCUGUAUCCACAGGGCGUAUCCAGACUCAACCCGUGCCUCGUCUUCUAUAUGGGUGAAGGUAUAAGAGGGAUAAUUCUCACUUUUCCAUGACAAGACAGAUGAUCUGAAGCAUUAUUUCAGAAUUGAGUCAAUAGACUCAGUGAGUAAAUGAAUAUUGAUUGAAAAUGAUGCCUGAGUGUGAAUGUGAGCUCUUUCAGUGACCCUCUUCCAGACACACUGUCAGCAUUGUAUUCUGAGCCUCCAACUAUGUCUGUUCCUCUGCAGAUUGAAGUGAUAUAUAAAAAAGAAAGUUCUCUAACCUUAUUGCUAAAGUAAAAUAAAGUGUGAGAAUCUUAAUAAUGCCGUACUACCAGAACUGUUCUGAGGUAUAGGAUGUGUAUUCCUGUACAAAAGGUAAAGUGAUACCAUGUACAAAUCAAAUGACUGCCAGAAUGCUAAAACCACAUUGUGGGAGCAGUGUCCUAGAUAUUUGCACUGACUUAAUCCAAUUGAAAUAGUAUGAGUGAGUUGCAGGGGCUCCCGGGUCUGUUCCAUGCUUAUGUAUGUGAUGCAUAAUAGAAGUUGACGAGGUUGGUGAUAGAUCACAGCCCAGGUAAUGUAAACACAUUAAUCCCUCAGGGUUCAUGUGCAUGUUCUUUCUCUCUUUUUCCUCUUCUAUCAGCCUCUCCCUCUCUGAGACCCCUACCACCACCACCCGUCGCCACCGCUCCCCAGUGCUCAUCAUCUUCCCUAAAUGCGUUACUGGAGCACAAACCAGAAGCAGCCUUAAUCUGUCAACAUGCCCUUUAAUUGGAAGGAGAAAACAACACGUGCUUCUCGUUGUGCCAUUCCUAAAUGCACAUGCCAAAAGAAAGGCAGAGCUCACGAAAGAAGCGAUCCCCGGAGAGUGGGAGCAUAAUUAAAAGUAUCUUUUAAUAGGCUUGUAAUGCUGAGCCUGACUCUUGUUGCCUUAAGUAGAGUGCAAAAUCUGUGGCUGGAGACGGACAUGCAAAGGAGCUUCUGCUGAGGGAGCCUGUAAGCGAUACAGAGUCUCACCAUCAUCAGACAUUCAGUCUCCGCCUGAGUCACCACACCGAGGACAACGAGCACUUUCCACUCCUGCCACGGACACCUCUGCUCACCAGCUCCCAUGUUCUUUUGUUCUCCCAAUGAGAGACUCUCCUCCACAACAUCGACUCUCUGACUGUCCGUCCCCAGACUGCUUCGCCAAGUUGGGUUCCACCUCUGACUCACAACACCGGUGGUGGAGUGAAAACUGGGAAUAAGGGCGUUGAUUUGGGGCCUGCUACASUGUAAUCAAAUGAGACUGCUUAGGGGAGAGAUGAAGGAGGAGGUGGAGUAUUAUGUUCUGUCGUGCAUUCCACGGCAGCAUUGUUGCCGUUUUUGUUUUUGUCAGGGCAGGCUUUGAUGCUAGAUCUCCUUACCUUUGUAGUCCCGGUAGCCAUGUUUCAUAAACAGAGAAUAGGAAACAUCCUCAGCAUUAGAAAUUUAGAUURCUGCUUUCCUCCCACCUCUCUGCAUUCCGCACAUGGCCGGUCACAUUCUCCAUCUCCCAGAGCUGACGUAUUAAGUUUCCUGUCCCAUGCCUCUGAUACAUUUAAACAUCUCACAAUAAGCUCCUGUUAUUCAGAAUGUCAUUUAUAAUCUGGGGCAACAACAAURCCAGUGUGGUGUUAUGUCUCUCUCUUGCACUGUAGUCUUCUGCCGUUCUUUUGUUUCAGGACAACUGCACUUGCAAAAUGCUUACUUCCUUAAAAUCCAGAAGUUGGCAGAAGUUCAGUUUAAACUUUGUCUUCACAACUGAGGGUACAAUAUCUUUAWGAAGCAACUCUUUCUAUAGAACCCCCUUUGCUUUCAAUUAUCAGACAAUUGAGAAUAUUUAGGUCUGCAACUGUCUUUGUAGUUAACUGAAACUCUCACUGGGAUYGAGUGUAAUGUAUUUCUAAAUCUAUCCUAACUCAUUAAAAGCUAAAGUGUUCAGUUCUA